GUGCACAUUUCAUAGACCUCCUUCCAUCUUCAUAUGAGCAGUGAUUUUCUUAUGUGCUAAACAAAUAUUUGGAGGUUAAUUAGCAGUUUAAGUAAAUGUUUAAUAAUGCUGCCAGCCUCCUUCAUACAAAU
ensembl:snoRNA